GACGUAGGGCGCGAGCGUUGUCCGGAUUUAUUGGGCGUAAAGAGCUCGUAGGCGGCUUGCCGCGUCGUCCGUGAAAACCUGCAGCUCAACUGCAGGCUUGCGGUCGAUACGGGCAGGCUAGAGUUCGGUAGGGGAGACUGGAAUUCCUGGUGUAGCGGUGAAAUGCGUAGAUAUUGGGAAGAACACCAGCGGCGAAAGCGCGCUACUGGGCCAUUACUGACACUCAUGGACGAAAGCUAGGGGAGCGGAAGGG
rnacentral:rRNA from 1 species